GAUGAACGCUAGCGGCAGGCCUAAUACAUGCAAGUCGAACGGUGUCUUCGGACAUAGUGGCGCACGGGUGCGUAACACGUAUGCAACCUACCUUACAUUGGGGGAUAGCCUUUCGAAAGGGAGAUUAAUACCGCAUAAGACAGUAGCUGGGCAUCCAGCAGCUGUUAAGGACUUAUCGAUGUAAGCUGGGCAUGCGUCCAAUUAGCGAGUUGGUGAGGUAACGGAUCACCAAGGCAAUGAUUGGUAGGGGAACUGAGAGGUCAAUCCCCCACACUGGCACUGAGAUACGGGCCAGACUCCUACGGGAGGCAGCAGUAGGGAAUAUUGGGCAAUGGACGCAAGUCUGACCCAGCCAUGCCGCGUGCAGGAUGAAGGCGUUAUGCGUUGUAAACUGCUUUUAUACAGGAAGAAACGACUCUUGCGAGAGGCAUUGACGGUACUGUAUGAAUAAGCACCGGCUAACUCCGUGCCAGCCGCCGCAGUAAUAC
rnacentral:rRNA from 1 species